rnacentral:lncRNA from 1 species
UGCUAUUUCUUGGGCCGCUCCCGUGGCAUAUGGAGUUUCCCAGGCUAGGGGUCUAAUGGGAGCUGUAGCCACCAGCCUACGCCAGAGCCACAGCAACGCAGGAUACGAGCCGCGUCUGUGACCUACACCACACCUCACGGCAACGCCAGAUCCUUAACCCACUGAGCAAGGGCGGGGAUCGAACCCACAACCUCAUGGUUCCUAGUCAGAUUCGUUAACCACUGCGCCACGACGGGAACUCCUAGAGUCAGGAUUUAAACAGAGUGAGGUAGAUCCCAAGCUUCCAGCAUUUCUCCUUGUGGGAAAGCCUCAGAGACUUGCUCCCCUCCAAACUAGCAAACAGCUGUCACCGAGAUACCUCCAAUCUUUAAAUGGAUAAUUUUAUUUUUUCUCAUGUCUUCCUAGCCCAGACAACCACCCUGGGCUCCACCACCACUGCUGCCACCACCACUGCUACCACAGCUGGCCUCGGGACCUCAGAGAACCAAAGGCAUUCGGGGUCUUGGCCCCUGAGUACGGAAGCUACAGUGGGGAUAGCAGGCGCUGUGCUUGUAAUAGCAAUUGUGGGACUGAUUUUGUGCCUCUGGUGGAAGAAGAGGAAAGGUCUGCAGACUAAAGCCAGAACCCCCGCCAGGGGAGAUGGAGGUAUUUGAAAGCCAGGAGGCUAUUUUUGCAAGAAAGCAGAGGUGAUACCAUUGCUAUUUUUUUUCUUUUAUUUGGAAAAAAACAAUGGACAUAAAUUUAUCCUCCAUAAAGAAUAGCUGCUACCUUCAAGUAAAUGUGGUGGUCUAUUGAGAGAUACACUGGCACAGGUGGGACAGGACUCCUGGGUCCUAGUUGGUGACUGGAAAACUUCCCAUGAGAAAAUGAGGGAAACACAAACCACUGACAGAAUCCUUUUUCACUACCCACAGACCCUCUAUUUCAAGAUGUCCUGGCCUGACAGCACCAUCCCUCAGCCCCCUGGACCCUGUGCUGCCUCUAAAUCUGCCUUCAAGUCCUCAGAAUCUCCCUCCUUCUUGCACUUUCUCCCCCAGGAGCUCUUGGACCUGACCCAUUUUCUGUACUAGCCUCCAGCCUUGGGAGAUGAGGAGGGAAUUUUUGGCCUCAAUGAGCCUCUAAACCUCUAUCUACUACCUGAGGGGUCCUGCCCAGGACAGCUCUGCCCUGGGAGGCUAUCUGGCCAUCCUUGUGACUGGAGACCACCGAUAGAGCAGGUCCAUGGCCCACACUGGGGAUCUAUUUUGGGUCCUGACUGAAAGGCAAGGGUCCCUUGGGGUGUACAGGAUCUGUAAAUGGCACAUACCUGCCGCCCUUCCCCCUGCUCUGGGCUGGGAUCACCCAAGUGUAAGUGUAGCUGAUCUACUCCAACAAAGUAGUUGGGUCUUGGGAUAAAAAUCUGAAGGAAGCAAGGGACCACAGUGGAUUUCACAGGGUAUUUCCAUGGAAUUUGAAAACAAGUUAAUUAGAAAACACCAAAAGUGAAACACAAGAGGACAAAAAGAAAGAACAGAGAAUGCAAGAGCUGUUGGUUAACAUCCCAAGGCUUAACAUACUGGUAUUUGGCAUAUCAGAACGGGAAGAGGGAGAAGAAUAGUGCAGAAGAAAUACCUCAAGAGACAAUGCCUAAUUUUUUUCAAAAACAACUAAAAACACAUUAACCCACAGAUCCAAGAAGCUCAGAAAACUCUAAAAAGGAAACACACACAGCUAAACAGGUCAUAUUUAAACCAAUGAAAACCAAAGACAAAGAGAAAAAUACAAGGCAACCAGAGAAAAAAUAUGGCAUCUUACACAAAGAGAAAAAAAUAAGAAUUAUACCCAGCUUCAUCAUGUUAUAAGCUAGAGGAAAAUAAAAUGGCAUCUUUGAAGUACUGGGCGGGGGGG